rnacentral:lncRNA from 1 species
CAGCCGAUCCAUGUGAGCGACAAGCAGUGAGCGGAGAAUCUAAUGAACUCGGCGACACAAUCUUGCAUCGUCUAUUUUGCCUCGUCGACGAUCUUUGUGUGGCCUAGAAAAAGAUAACUUAUUUAUAAGAGUAUUUUUUAGCCGACCUGUGUUGGUCGGCUUCUCGUUUAAACUCUCGUUAGUAAUUCAAAUUGCGGAUAUUUUGGUAGGAGAUAUCCGUGGAUUCUUUAUAGAUGCGUAACCUAGAUAUUGUAUUCAAAGGGUCAAUUAUACACAAAUAUUUUUGAGAGGGUGUCAAUAAUAAUAAAUAAAUGUUGAGAGGUUAUUUUUUUAGUAUCGGAUAAUAGAUUAUUGGGAAGUGGUGGGGUCAUGGCCCCUAUAGUUUUAUAUUGGUUUCGCCACUCAAAAUGUGAAGUAUCGAAGGAAACUGUGAUUGAUUUUUGUGAUUUUGCUCAUGCAUUGCGGUCC